rnacentral:ribozyme from 1 species
AUCAAGAAAAAAAAAAAAAAAAAAAAAAAACAAACUUUUUUCCUAACUAGCCUAUCUUUCAUUCAGAUUGUUUUGUUCUUCUAUUACUC